rnacentral:rRNA from 1 species
AACGCACCUUGCGCUCCUUGGUAUUCCGAGGAGCAUGCCUGUUUGAGUGUCAUCGAAAAUCUCAAGCCAAGCUGUUUUGACAUUGGUCGAAAAAGCCUGGAUUUUGGAGUGUGGGAGGUCUGCAGGCAGUCCCGAUCUUGGGACUGCCAGCUCUCCUGAAAUGCAUUAGUGGGAUGGGCAUUGCGACCAGCCUCUUCGACGUCGUAACGCGAUCGUCGUGGACUUGUGAGCUUUCCCCCCCUUGACUUUGCUAUUGGUGAAGGCUUGACCUCAAAUCAGGUAGGACUACCCGCUGAACUUAA